CUUUCUCCUUCCACAGCCAAAAGCUCUUCUCUAUCUAUCAGAUCGGAAAAAAAAAAAGAAGAAGCUAUCUCUCCCUCACCUUUCGUCUCUCUCCCUUUAUAUAUUUUUGAAAAAGUUAGCUAAACGAAGAAUGAAGGUUGGGCUUCAGUGCAUUCUGCUUCUUACAUGGUCGUUCCUUUGCGCAGGAUUUGAAGUGAAUGCUUUAUCUUAUGAUCACACAGCUAGUAUCGAG